GGCUCGGUUGUGUAGUGGUAUCAUUCUCACUUAGAGUGCGAGAGGUCCCGUGUUCAAAUCCUGGACGAUUCC